UGAGAAAGGUGCCAGGGUAAUGAGACAGGUGCCAGGGUAAUGAGACAGGAGCCAGGGUAAUGAGACAGGAGCCAGGGUAAUGAGACAGGAGCCAGGGUAAUGAGAUAGGAGCCAGGGUAAUGAGACAGGAGCCAGGGUAAUGAGACAGGUGCCAGGGUAAUGAGACAGGUGCCAGGGUAAUGAGACAGGAGCCAGGGUAAUGAGACAGGAGCCAGGGUAAUGAGACAGGAGCCAGGGUAAUGAGAUAGGAGCCAGGGUAAUAAGAUAGGAGCCAGGGUAAUGAGACAGGUGCCAGGGUAAUGAGACAGGUGCCAGGGUAAUGAGACAGGAGCCAGGGUAAUGAGACAGGAGCCAGGGUAAUGAGACAGGAGCCAGGGUAAUGAGACAGGAGCCAGGGUAAUGAGACAGGAGCCAGGGUAAUGAGACAGGAGUCAGGAUAAUGCCACAUUGACAAAAACUGUCAACACAAAGACAAAGGGAAGUGGAGAGGAGGAAGAUUGAGGAAGAGGGGUAAGAACGUUUGUUUUUUUGCACACCUCCACUGGUCUGCCUUUCUGUCAC
ensembl:lncRNA